ACUUCAUUGACAAGGACCAGUAAUUGAAAGCAGCAAAUUGGUAUUGUUUUACAAUUGCGUUGGGGCUAGUAGGUUUAGUCAUUGAUCAAUGAGUCAUUUGACAUUGCAUAACAGACAUCCUGACGUAUUGCUAUGACUAAUAUGGAAUACGAAGGAAAACUGUUCGAAGUAUCGGCGAAACUGUCAACCCAUGGCUCCAAAUACAAUUACAGUCCUGUUUCUAGUGAUUGUAUGGCAUGCGCAGUACGUGUGACAAGUCGAAGACAUAAAGAAUUAGAAGAACAGGUGACAGAGUUAUUUACAUCCUGCGAAAAGUAUGAUCAUAGGUGAAUUAUCUUGCUUGAUUUUUAGCAGAGCGUUGUUGUUUGUGGACCUUUUUUAAGCAACGAAGAUGUAUGUCACUUGCCUGAGACUCUUGCCAAAGAAAAAUACCGAAGAGCUCAAUUGCAUGUAGUAACCACUAAUCAAAGGGUCAAGGUUUUCGGCAAGUGGACCGAGGAAAAAUUAUUGGCAGCAUUGACAGACCGAUUACUGCAAAGAGCUACCAGUCAACCCCCCAAACCUUAUGAGAAAAUUCCCCCACUAAAAAUUAAACAAUUUUCUGCUGGUAUACCUUACUGUCCGAUUGUUCAUAGGGGUAUAUACAGCAAGGAUAUUUUGGGACGAUUGUACGGCAGUGGUAUGGCGUAAACAUUGAUUAGGAAACAUAAUAUAAUACAAUAUAUAUUCCAUCUUGUAAUAGAAAGUAUUAUUGGUCAUAUUUUAAGGUGUGUCAGAAUCGCUUGUUAUAAGAGCAAUGAAAUUUGGUUUAAAACAUCUUAAACCGGAGGAUCUGAAUUACUUUAUCCAGUUUGGAGUGUCCAUUCAAACUUUACGAUCGCAUAAACUCUGGAAUGAGUUGACUGACGAAUCUUUAGCUACGUCUCUGAGAACUAUGGGCUUUGAUGAUAAUGCUAGCAGGAAAAUAAUAUUGAACGGCAUGCUGGUACAAAGCGAAAUUUGUUUAAUGCAAUUAAUGCUCGCGGGCGUUGAUGUUCCUGGAAUUCUUAAUUGGCAAGGGGAAAAGAUCGAUGUAGGAGCUCGAAUGAUAAAAUUUUUAAGAAAUUUAGGAAUUCCAGAGGAUGUACUGCAACUAAUUGUUCAGAAAGGUAUCGAUGAAGAGACUAUGGAGAUGCUUAAGGAUUUGGGGUACACGGAAACAGAAGAAGAAGAACACGUGGAAAUGCAUGAGGUACUCAUUUGCGAAUGCGAUUUGACUGUCCUUGAGUCAGAAAUUUGUUCAGUAAAUUCGCCACCCUCUAAUACUAACAGCUUGAAGAGUUUAAUUCCAAAGCCUGAUAAUAGCAAAGCGGAUUUUGAAGCCGAAGAUGCUCGCGUAUGUUUUUCUGAUAUAAGUAGUUCGACUGUGUCAAAUUCAACGUCGAGUCAACAGACUCUAGUAGAUUGCAAAAAUGUGCACGUAAAACCAAAAGCGCUAACAAGCUCAGAACUUCUCACCGAACGAAAUGAGUACUUAAGGCGAACAGUAAUGGCACCAUUAGCUUGGGCCAUGAGCAGAGCGUUACAGUACAGACCAUCUGAUCCAAAUCAUUACAUAGCAUGUCAACUGCUGCGUUGGAGAUAUGGGAACGUUUCCAAACUGGAAAUGAAGGCUGUAGAGGACUUUGUAAUUGCUAGAACAAUCGAAAUGGACAAAAAAUUAAUGGAACAAAAACGGAAAGAAGAAGAAGAGUUGAUGGCCAAACAUAAUUUUGAAGCUUUACAAAAUAUUCCUUGCCAUCCGUGCUGGCAAAAUCAACAAAUUUAUCGUGUUAAAGAGCGGUGUUGGAAAUGCAUUAAAAAAUGGGUACCUAACUACGAGCGAUGCGAGUUGCCUGAGAUUUGUAGUUCGUGUGAGGUCGACUUAUCUGAGAUUUUGAACUCUGACACGGCAACAAGUAGUACUGGAGAUAAUCCAGAAACAGAAAGUGCUGUACAGACUCAGAAAGUAGCCAUUCUAGAUAAUAGAAAUAUCUCAUCAGACGGUCAGUACCGUUAUACGGAAAACUUGGACUUGUCAAGUUAUAACAGAGUUGACGAAUUGUACGGAGAAUAUUUCAAAUCGGAUUCUUACGAGGAAAAUAUGCAUAUAAUUUCAACCAAGUCUGAAGCAUAGAUGUUGAUACAGCAUGAGAACUCUAUGUACAAUUUUAAGUAUUUUAUGAAUAUUGCUGUGUUGGUAAAAUUACCGAUUUCUAUUGCUUUAAAUUACAGUUUAAAAUAUACUACUACUACGAUCAGAUAUAUGAAGCGACGACUUCUCUCGGCGCUCAUGUUUAUGAAAGGGACGCACUUGGGACGAGCAUCUCUGGUUUUUUUAACUUCGCGCCAGCAGCCCGGACUGUUUAUGCAAGGCGAUAAGUACCUAGGACAAGUGGGCCCCACGGUUUGCGAAGCAACGUUUCGACCGGCGAGGAGACGAUCACUUCUCGAUAGAGUUCCAAGCAAGCAACGUCGUCCUUUGAGUUACUUAAGAUUAUACGCGACGCUGUACGUUUGUGCAAUUAUAUAAAUAUAGACUCAUUCCGCUAUUCGUUAUUCGCCAUUUCUUACAUUUGGAAAAUAUUAUAACCGAAUUAGAUUAGAAAUAUAUUGAAUUGAUGAGAAAAUUCAAUUGUGGACAGAGCAAUCAUAGAAAAUUCGUUUAUUUGCUAAUCAGAAUCGUACAAUUGUUAUACAACACUUGAUCAUAAUAUUUGAGUACUAAGAUUCCAUCACACAUACAAAAUCAGAUGAGAUGAAAAAAUUUAAAACAUUGCGAAUAGAAAAAUAUAAUAACACACUGGCGGUGUUUGAAUUGUACAAUGAUAACUUUUCUAUGAUAAUAUGUAGAAAUAUAAUAAAUUUCGGUUAAUAAACAAAUACGGGUAAGUAAUCUUCAAACUAUUGGAUGAAGUUAAAAGUGAAGUACUGGUGUAUUUAUGAAUAAACCAAAUGCAGUACUUCCGUAUAAAAUUCGAGGUUUUAUUGAAAAUGUAGAAUAAUAAAUACUGUACGUAUCGGUUGGGUAUAAUAGUAUAAUAAUGUAAUAGGCAACAAUAUGCAUCGUUCGCUAAAACUUUUUUUUUUUGGACGCACUGAUAACUUUUAGUUAAUCAUAGAUUGUGCUUUAACAGGAAGAACACAACGACCCGCGUAUGAAAAUAGGAAAUUCACAAGUUGUCAUGACAGACUUGACGUAAGAAUGCUGGGGAGCUAUCUCUUUAGUGAAUCAUGGUAUUCCAUCAUUACCUAUUUUAGAUGAUUCCCGGGGUUCACAAUGAGUACGUUUUUUCGGUUUACAUUGAAAGUCUUGGUACAAGUUAGAGCGAACGUCAAUAAAAUAG
rnacentral:misc_RNA from 1 species